rnacentral:rRNA from 1 species
AUUGAACGCUGGCGGCAGGCCUAACACAUGCAAGUCGAGCGAGCGGCGGACGGGUGAGUAAUGUCUGGGAAACUGCCUGAUGGAGGGGGAUAACUACUGGAAACGGUAGCUAAUACCGCAUACCAUCAGAUGUGCCCAGAUGGGAUUAGAUAGUAGGUGGGGUAACGGCUCACCUAGGGGACGAUCCCUAGCUGGUCUGAGAGGAGGACCAGCCACACUGGAACUGAGACAGGGUCCAGACUCCUACGGGAGGCAGCAGUGGGGAAUAUUGCACAAGGGGCGCAAGCCUGAUGCAGCCAUGCCGCGUGGGUGAAGAAGGCCUUCGGGUUGUAAAGCACUUUCAGCGGGGAGGCGUUACCCGCAGAAGAAGCACCGGCUAACUCCGUGCCAGCAGCCGCGGUAAUUC